rnacentral:lncRNA from 1 species
AACCCAGUCAGGAUCCAUGAGCAUACAGGUUUGAUCCCUGGUCUCGCUCAGUGGGUUAAGGAUCCAGUGUUGCUGUGAGCUGUGGUGUAGGUCACAGACAUGGCUUGGAUCUCGUGUUGCUGUGGCUGCGGUAUAGGCCGGUAGCUGUAGCUCCGAUUUGACCCCUAGCCUGGGAACUUUCAUGUGCCUCAGGUGUGGCCCUAAAAAGCAAAAAAAAAAAAGAGAGAGAGAGAGAGAAAAUAUUCAAUGGCAUAUCAUGGGGAUCACUGCCAUUACACCUGAGGUGUGGUGUUGCUUCUGAUUUUGGCAGCAGGGGUGGUAGGAUAGGAAGGGCAUUUUGAGCCUGAAGUAACCCUAAGCCUCUUCUACCAUUAUGGCUGUUACUCUUCAGGUCAAGAAACGAGUGUAAAGGUCUGUCAGUUAAAUACAUUUGUCCCAGUUUUCUACUCAGAAGCCAGGGAAAUAACCAGAUUCAUUGCUAAAUGCAGUGAGAUGGAUUUUACUAAAGCUCUGAUUGUCUGCCUCUCUAUGACCUCAUUCUAACAAAGGCUAUGAUGGUGUUUUGGCUCCCCUAAAUAUGUCAGUUCAGGCCCUGUGUCCAUCUGCUCUUGAAAGAUGUGUGUAUUCCAUUUUCCUGGUGUACAAUUACUCUGACAAAUCACCACAAAGUUCUCUAAGGAAGAUUGGGGGGCAUACUUAUUAUAUAUGCUGCUUUAGUACUGCAGGUUCCUCCUUCGAGGGCCUAGCCUCCCCUCCAGUUAUUGGGCUCUGGAGCUGAGAACUGACUCAGGCGUGGGACCUGUAGGGGAGACCCUGAUUUCCCAUUAUGGUAGCUGACAACAAUUUUUUACUCAUCAGCUGUUUGUUGGUUGGUUUGGUUUUAUAAUGCAAAUAAUAACUUCACUGACUGCCCAUUCAUCACAUCUCUGGGAACACCAUAUAACCUAUUAACCACUGGUUGCUGUUCUGGCCUUGCAGCCCAUUAGGUUGUUGCAUUCGUUUUUCUCUCUAAUGGCUAAGUGCUGCCAUUAGACUCUUACUGUGGAAUCCUAUCCAUUGGCCCCUAGGGGGCCCAAUUAGGUACCAGCAUCUCCUGUUGUCAGCUCUGGCCAAUAGGACAGCAACCCCUGAGCUUUUCUGAAAUGCUAAUGUUGCAUUCCUUGUUGUUUCAGUGAUGUGCUCUCUCAUCUUAUAUCCAGUCUAGCAUGCCAUCCUUCUGGCCUCUGACCCCUCCUCAGCACUCUGCCAAGGAAGUUAUGGAAUCUCCUCCUCACUUUUGGUAUACUAUCAUCUUUGAGCUCCAAGGAGCCAUUGCAGCAGUGUGUGAGGACUUUGCCAAUGUGCCAAAUCCUAAGUCACAGAAAUGGGCCCUCUUAUCCAGCCUCUCUGCUACCUCCCACUCCACCAUCCUCAGGAUCCAUGCCCAUAUAUGCUCUUCAAGUUCCUGCCAGUCCGUGUUAGCCAGAUUCUCCAACUCUUCGGGGGAAUCAUUUGUUUCCUCUCUAAGCAGGACAAUGUUUUUCUACACAGGCCAUGCUGAUACUCACCCCUAUUUAUUGGUUUAGGAGUAAUAGAUGUAAGCGGAGGCAGAUGUUGGGGAGAACGAAAGUUAUCUUGUCAGUCUUCUCUCUCCAGAGAGGCCUUUGAAUGGUUUCCAGGUCAGGGGAGAUUGUAAGGGAGAGAGGGCUUCUCCCAAGUGGGCCCAGCUCGAGUCUCAGAGACCCAUUCCUUCCUAGUCAGAGCUCUGACCUGAGCGAGAAACUGGCCAAGCAUGUGAAUGUGAUUCCCUUUGUGACUGCACCACUCUUAUAAUUCAGGACCUUCUGUCCUCUGCAGGUAGGAGACCUGGGUCUCUUUAAAUGCUGCCAUGGGACAUUCUAGUUGUCACUGCAUCUCCUUUGGUGACACUUGGCUAACCAUAGCCUGUCAUCCUCUUCUUUCAUCCCAAUCCACCCCCAGUGUGAGUUUUGGUAACUGUGACCCAGCAGAGUGACAGAGCUUAUCACCACCUCACUUAACCAUCAGCAGUGGGAUCCUGUUGUCAUCUGGCUGGCAGCCAAGUCCACUGUCUCAGCCAGGGACUGCUUUCUAGGGCCACUUGAGGCUUCAGAUGUUUUAUCAGGUCUCCCCCUAGGGGCAGACCUUGAGACAAGUAGCUUCCCUGAGAGGUGAUCCCAGGAAGCAGGGUGAGGACCUGGGGGCAUGAGCAGGAAAGGGGAGAAAGCCAGUAAGAGGGUACGUGAUGAGCAGGUAAGCACUGCGGACCCCCACGCUCAGUAUCCCCCCCAGUAAUGAGGAGGCUAGGGCACAUGACCCCCAGCUCCUCAUCUGUCAGUUUGAGGGUUGCUCUUAGGUUCUUAACUCCCAGCACUUUUUGUGUCUGGGUUGAGCGUGUACCAGUGGCCAAAAAAGGCCCCCAGGUGAAGAGACACAAUCUUCCGCAGGCCACCUCCAGACAGGACUGAGUGGAUAUGAGGAGGCAUCACUACCAUGUGGUCACGUGGACCCAUGAUGACCAGAAGCGAAAAUGCAAUGGACAUUCCAUACUCACUGUCAGUAUUCACUCAGAAGAAAUGACAAACCUACUCGACCUGGUUAGCUCAGUGUGCUCACGUGGCCUGGCCAUUGCUCCUUUUAAGUAGUAACAGCUCUGAAAAAAGAACCUCCUUGGAGUGAGUACCCAGACUAGGCCACAUCUUUGUGACUCAAGCAGCAGGUCCAUUCUAGGUGCUGAAUCCAAAUGUUUGUGAAACUGAACUUCCGGUUCCUGCACAAGCACUGCUUAGGCCAUGGAAAACUUUGGGUUGGUUGUCAAAAAUUAUGCCAUAUUACCUAAAAAGUAACUUUCUGGCACUAAAAUUUCUCCAUACAAAUGAACAAAACAUUGUUAAGAUCAGCCAUUUAAAAAAAUCUUUAAUAAAGAGCACAAUUUUCUGUCCUCAUAGGCAGUGAGUCACAAACAUAAUUUUAUCUUUUCCUGUUGAUUCAAAGUCAUUAUUACAAGUAUCAUUGAUUGGCCUACACUGCAGUGGCCUCAGGGGCCACUGAGAUGUGGAGAGCUGUCUGCCCCUGUAACCCAUGGUGUGUCAGCACUGUUUUUUGAUCGAAGGCUUCUGCUUUUUAUGGUUUACCCAUGUCCUUGUCUGUCAAGUUGGUAGCUAACACUCUGAUUUUAGCCAGUCUCUGUUGCUGUUUUUAAUUUGGUGUGGUCUUACAAAAUAAAUAGAGAAGCUAAUUGGAGUUACUUGGAUCCCCAGAGGGAGGGCUUAAGGGACUCCUCCUCUGUCUGUGAAGUGCAUAGACUUUGUCGCAUCUUGGCAGCUCCAAGACCUUUUUAGAUUGCUUGAAAAGAGAAAGUUAAUAUUCUAGGUUAUCAGCUCGUUUCAGAUAGGUGUAGUUUCCAGGUAAUCAAUUCUGGAUAAGUCAGAGAGUGUGCCUCCUGUGUAUUUCUCUUACCUUAUGGCACCGGCUAGGCCCUCCAGUACAGUAUUAAAUAGCAGUCGUGAUAGAGGGCAUCCUUGCCUUGUUCCCAAUCUGGAACCGUAAAAUAUUUUAUCAAGAAGGAUAAUAUUCACAAUAUUCUAGUUCCCAUUGUGGCUCAGGGGUAACAAACCUGACUAGUAUCCAUGAAGUUGCGGGUUCGAUCCCUGGCCUCACUCCGUGGGUUAAGGCUCUGGCGUUGCCAUGAGUUGUGGCGUAGGUUGCAGACGCAGCUCAGAUCUUGCGUUCCUGUGGCUGUGGCGUAGGACAGCAGCUGCAGGUCCAAUUGAACCCCUAGCCUGGGAGCCUCCAUAUGGCAUGGGUGCAGCCCUAAAAUGCAUAAAUAAAUAAGUAAAUAAGGCUUAUUGUAUCUCCACCAUGUGACUCAGUCUGGCCUUGGCCUUGCUUUGGCGGCUGCUGUAUGCUUGGUAAUCCCCUUCAGGAAAAAAGGACUAUGGUCCCAGCUACUGGAAGUGCCCUUGGCAGUCAGCCCUCAGCUGUCCCUUUUCAGACUGCCCAGCUAAGGAGAACCACCUCGCCUGAGUUUAUACUCCCCUUCAGGGUGACUGCCUCCAGCUGCCAGUGGAGGGGUGUAAAUCCCCAGCGUGGGCCUGUGCCUCUUUUUCGGAACUCCUCAAGGGUCCAGGGCCACUCCACUGGGCCCACCUGCCCUGCUUUCCUCCCCUCCCAAGGGCGCUCCCUCGUUGACGACCAGCUCCCGGCACACCUCAGAGCUUCCUGAGGGGCCUGACCUGCGCUGGUCUGUUUAUAUCUUGCUGGUUCAUAUUAGGUAAUCUAUUAUUUAGGGGUCGCAUCAAUAUUUAUGUUAGAGAUUGGUCUGGAAUUUUCCUUCCUUGUAAAAGAGCUGUUUUUGAAAGCCGCCAACGGUCUUUCUGCAUCAAUAACUGAUUAAUAUUCAAGUAAACCUUUGACUGCUUUAACCAGGGCUUACUCCACUUUGGAUGUAAAAUCAAUUAUCUAGCAUCAGAAACAAGCCCAUCUUAAAGGAAAGAACGGAUAGAUAGUGAGAAGCAUGAGUGAGGUGCGGGGGAGGUGGGAGGAGGUGAAGGUGAUGAACAACUACCAGCACCCCCAGGACAGCCACCCUGCUAACCAGGAAAGGUCUUCCUGCAUGACUGAGGCCACCAGUCUGUGUCCCAGGGCUGCACACAGAAGGCGAGAAGCUGUUGCUGCGUGGCUAGAAACGUGGAUUCUGUUAGCAGUGCCAUUCUGCAGGUGUCUCCUUGGAUGGGCUCCCAGUAGUCAGGACCGCCUGAUUUCUGUCCUUUUGGUUUUAUAUUUUCUUCCUCCUUAUACCGUACAUUCUUUUUUUAAGUGGAAAUACAGUGGAUUAUAUUGGUUUCAGGUAUACAGCACAGUGAUUCAGUGGUUUCGCCAAUUAUAUACUCCAUUGUAAAUUAUUACAGCAUCAUGGCUGUCAUUCCCUGUGCUAUACAGUAUAUCCUUGUUUCUUACCAAUUUUAUACGCAUACCCUUAGUCUGUCCCUCCACCCCCUGCCCUCUCCCCUUUGGUAGCCACAAGUUUUCUAUAUCUGUGAGUAUGUUUCUCUUCUGCAUAUACAUCCAUUGUAUUAUUUUUUAGAUUCCACACAUGUGGUACCACAGAGUAUUUGUCUUUCUCUGACUUAUUUCACAUAGCAUGAUACUCUCCAAGUCAAUCCAUGUUGCUGCAAAUGACAUUAUUUCAUUCUUUUUUAUGGCUGAGUAGUAUUCCAGUGUGUGUGUGUGUGUGUGUGUCUGUCUGUCUGUCUGUCUGUCCUGUGUGUGUGUGUGUGUGUGUGUGUGUGUGUGUAUACCACAUCUUCUUUAUCUACGCCUCUGUCACUGGACAUUUAUUUAGGUUGCUUCCAUGUCUUAGCUAUUAUGGACAGUGCUGCUAUGAACAUUGGGGUGCAUGUAUCUUUUCAAAUUGGUAUUUUUGUCUUUUCCGGAUAUAUUCCCAGAAGUGGAAUUGCUGGAUCAUAUGGUAACUCCAUUUUCAGUUUUUGGAGGAACCUCUUACGAUUUUCCAUAGUGACUGUACCAA